UCCGGUUCUCGUUAGAUCACCGAAGUUAAGCAUCAUUGGGCGCGGUCAGUACUUGGGUGGGUGACCACCUGGGAACACCACGUGCCGUU